UGGGGAAUUUUGGACAAUGGGCGAAAGCCUGAUCCAGCAAUGCCGCGUGUGUGAAGAAGGCCUUCGGGUUGUAAAGCACUUUUGUCCGGAAAGAAAUCCUUGGCUCUAAUACAGUCGGGGGAUGACGGUACCGGAAGAAUAAGCACCGGCUAACUACGUGCCAGCAGCCGCGGUAAUACGUAGGGUGCAAGCGUUAAUCGGAAUUACUGGGCGUAAAGCGUGCGCAGGCGGUUUGCUAAGACCGAUGUGAAAUCCCCGGGCUCAACCUGGGAACUGCAUUGGUGACUGGCAGGCUAGAGUAUGGCAGAGGGGGGUAGAAUUCCACGUGUAGCAGUGAAAUGCGUAGAGAUGUGGAGGAAUACCGAUGGCGAAGGCAGCCCCCUGGCAAGUACUGACGCUCAUGCACGAAAGCGUGGGGAGCAAACAGGAUUAGAUACCCUGGUAGUCCCACGCCCUAAAACGAUGUCAACUAGUUGUUGGGAAUUCAUUUUCCUUAGUAACGUAGCUAACGCGUGAAGUUGACCGCCUGGGGGAGUACGGUCGCAAGAUUAAAAACUUAAAUGAAUUGAGCGGGGUCAU
rnacentral:rRNA from 1 species